AUAUUCACUAAGACAGUACACAUAUUACAAUUGGAAUGAUACAUAGAAGAUUAGCAUUUCUCCCUGUACAAGGAUGAUAUGCAAGUAUGUGGAACAUUCCAUAUAUUU
ensembl:snRNA U6 U6 spliceosomal RNA